rnacentral:lncRNA from 1 species
AAGGGCAAACAGGAAGUGUGAGCUGAAACCAUCUACAAGAACAGGGAGCAUCUAAACAAACCCUUUUACAAGAUCAACAAAAGGCACCCAGAAAGCCAGGACCCAAAGAGAAAAACAUAGAUCCCAUCCUAUGUGGCAUUGCCAUGGGUUACACGCUCUUCAGUUGCCUGGUCCUCUGUCUCCUGGUGGCAGGUCCAGUCGACCCUAAAAUUAUCCAGAAACCAAAAUUUCUGGUGGCAGUCACAGGGAGUGAAAGAAUCUUGAUAUGCGAACAGCAUCUAGGACACAAUGCUAUGUAUUGGUACAGACAAAGUGCUAAGAAGUCCCUAGAGCUCAUGUUUUCCUAUAGCUAUCAAAAACUUAUGGACAACCAGACUAUCCCAAGUCGCUUCCAACCUCACAAUUCAGAGAAAUUGUUAGACCUUCAGAUCACAGCCCUGAAGCCUGAAGAUGUGGCUACAUAGUUCUGUGCCAGUAGCCAAGACA